rnacentral:rRNA from 1 species
UACGUAGGCAGCAAGCGUUGUUCGGAGUUACUGGGCGUAAAGAGUGCGUAGGCGGUCCUGUAAGUUUGGUGUGAAAUCUCCCGGCUCAACUGGGAGGGUGCGCCGAAGACUGCAGGGCUUGAGUAUGGGAGAGGUAAGCGGGAUUCCUGGUGUAGCGGUGAAAUGCGUAGAUAUCAGGAGGAACACCUGUGGUGUAGACAGCUUACUGGACCAUAACUGACGCUGAGGCACGAAAGCGUGGGUAGCAAACAGG